ensembl:lncRNA
AAUAAGAAAGAGAGUUCCAAACCUCUCUGCCAAUAACAGCUAUUAUAUAUAUUUUUUAAAUGUAUUUUUGUAUUUUACCCCCUUAUUUGACCCAAUUUCGUGAUAUAAAAUUGCGAUCCAAUUCCGUUUCUUGUCUCAUCGCUGCAACUUCCCAACUGGCUCGGGAGAGACGAAGGUCGAGUCAUGCGUCCUCUGAAACAUGACCCGCCAAACCGCACUUCUUAACACCCGCCCGCUUAAACUGGGAAGGCAGCCGCACCAAUGUGUCGGAGGAAACACCGUUCAGCUGAUGACCGAAGUCAGCCUACAGAAGAACAGAAGGUGUUGACUAACAAGUAGAAUUGGGACAGCUGACCCAGAACAGAAGGAGUUGACCAACAAGUGGAAUUGGGACAGCUGACCCAGAACAGAAGGAGUUGACCAACAAGUAGAAUUGGGACAGAUGACCCAGAACAGGAGUUGACCAACAAGUGGAAUUGGGACAGAUGACCCAGAACAGAAGGAGUUGACCAACAAGUAGAAUUGGGACAGAUGACCCAGAACAGGAGUUGACCAACAAGUGGAAUUGGGACAGAUGACCCAGAACAGAAGGAGUUGACCAACAAGUGGAAUUGGGACAUAUGACCCAGAACAGAAGGAGUUGACCAACAAGUGGAAUUGGGACAGAUGCCCCAGAACAGAAGGAGAUAACCAACAAGUGGAAUUGGGACAGAUGUGCCAGAACAGAAGGAGAUGACCAACACGUGGAAUUGGGACAGAUGGCCCAGAACAGAAGGAGAUGACCAACAAGUGGAAUUGGGAAAGAUCAACUAGAACAGAAGGAGAUGACCAACAAGUAGAAUUGGGACAGAUAACCAGAACAGAAGGAGAUGACUAACAAGUAGAAUUGGGACAGAUUAACCAGGUCUCAACCUACAUGCACAUACACACACUAUGUUGAUGACAAUGUUUAUAAGAUUAAGUUAUUUCUCGAUGUAUCGCAGGAUGUAACUCUUGUGAUUGUAAUCAAGACUGUGUGUGUGUGUGUGUGUGUGUGUGUGUGUGUGUGUGUGUGUGUGUGUGUGUGUGUGUGUGUGUGUGUGUGUGUGUGUGUGUGUGUGUGUGUGUGCCAUGCAUACUUCCUGUAUAUACACCUCUUGCGUAGGUGAAUUACACUACGUUUCCUCUGCUUGUGCAUAGUACUCUGUGUAACAUAACAGUUUCCUAACAAUGCUAUCUCAGCGAAGGGGGUAUGAUAACAUUUACCAGUGUGUGGCAUAAACAGCAGGCCUUGUGAAUCCAGAGGAUAACCAGACUCCUGGGCCUCGCCCGGCUCCGAUAACGAGUGGAACUCUUCUCCCAACCUUAACAUGCCCUCUUUCUGGAUGGACCAUGUACUUAACUUGGACUGAAGACUGGGAAUCUUCCUUCCAGUGAAGAUGUUAUGCCAGGUUUUUCAUUGGACAUCAGAAUGAAUGUCCAAUUGUCUAUUCAACGGUCACCAACUCUGGAGAAAAGCUAGUGAGCUGCACAGACCAUCCACCCGAGCAUCUCUGCUAUGUUGUAAUUACAUGAUGUCUAUUUUAUGACUACAUUAUUAUUAUUAUUAUGAUGCUAUUAUCAAAAGCAACUGUGACAGGUGUUUACGACUCUCAUUGGUAGAAGGAAGAGUGGACCAAAGCGCAGCGUGGUCAAUGUUCAUGAUUCCUUUUAUUCAAAACCCAAAAAGUAAAGGACAACUUAUAUGUGAUCCCCAAUCAGAGGCAACGAUAGACAGCUGCCUCUGAUUGGGAACCAUGCUCAGCCAAAAACACAAAGAAAUAGAAAACAUAGAUUUUCCCACCCGAGUCACAGCCUGACCUAACCAAACAUAGAGAAUAAUAAGGUUCUCUAAGGUCAGGGCGUGACAGCAGGACUGGCUUUGGGACAAGUCUCUGAACGUCCUUGAGAGGUCCAGCCAGAGCCCGGACUUGAACUUGAUCAAACAUCACUGGAGAGACCUGAAAAUAGCUGUCUCUGGAGAGACCUGAAAAUAGCUGUCUCUGGAGAGACCUGAAAAU